rnacentral:rRNA from 1 species
UACGUAGGGCGCAAGCGUUUGUCCGGAAUUAUUGGGCGUAAAGAGCUCGUAGGCGGUCUGUCACGUCGGAUGUGAAAGCCCGGGGCUUAACCCCGGGUCUGCAUUCGAUACGGGCAGACUAGAGUGUGGUAGGGGAGAUCGGAAUUCCUGGUGUAGCGGUGAAAUGCGCAGAUAUCAGGAGGAACACCGGUGGCGAAGGCGGAUCUCUGGGCCGAAACUGACGCUGAGGAGCGAAAGCGUGGGGAGCAAACAGG